AAUUUGGACAUGGGAACAUGGUAACCUCAGGUGACACUGCUCCAGAAUAGAGCUGCUGUUUGAUAAGACUCUCAUUGCCUUGGUUUGCCUUCUUCAGGUCUUCCUAAGAAUGACAUGAAAUUUUCAGCUGAAAAAGAAGUAGUCACAGAAUCCCUUCAAAGUCUACGUUCAUCUGAAAAUGUGGUAACCGUCUUAGUUGAUGUCCCCAAAAGCAGAACCCGAGGCUAAAACGUUGGAGCUGGCCACAGCGGCCCUGCAAACGCGGAUAAACCUGGAAACCAAUGCGCUAAUAGAGAGGAGCCAGACACAAAAGACCACCCAUUGUUUGAUCCCAUUUACAUGAAAUUUCUGCAAAGAGGAGAUACUAUGGCUAUGGAAAGCAAAUCAGUGGUUUCCUAGAGGCUGCUGGGAACAGGGAUUGAGUACAAAAAAGUGUGAGGAAAAGCUUCAGGGUGCUGGAACUGUCCUAAAACUGGAUUGUGGUGGUGGCUGCAUAGUUGUGAAAACGUAUGAUAAGCCAAUUACACAAUCACGCUUUUUGAGGGAGAAAGAAAAGGAAAAAGAGGAGGGGGGAGGGAGAAAAGCCCUGGGAACUGUAGGAAGCAACAUCUAGUUGCUGUGGGGUAGACGAGCUCCCUGAUGAAAGAGUUACAGCACCUUCACUCGCAAGUGACAUCCAGCAGCCCCUGAAAGGAAACUUUGGCCCCCAACACACCCUCAAGGGGAAAACAGGACCUGUUUUGCACAGGAACUUCAAGAUGAGCCUUCUCCCCUCCCCUCCAACAGGGUGGCCCUCAGCUGCUUCAGGACAAGCAGGUCAGCGUAGCACCAAAGGGGGAGCCGUGCAGUUGGGCUUCUAAAUUUUCUAGCAGACACAUUAAAAAUGGAAACAGAAACAGACUGCAUUAACUUUAACAAUAUGUUUCCUUUAACCCAGUAUGUCCAAAGUGUGAUCCUUUCAGCGUAUCAUCAAUAGAAAAACUACUGCAAUAUUUUACUUUCUUUCUUUCAUACGAAGCCUUCAAAGUCUGUUACGAGUCAAAUGGCAUUUUUCAAAUUUGACCAGCUUCAUUUUCAAGUGUUGGAAGGCCACAGGUGGCUACGGCCUUGGACAGCACAGGCCUAGAGGCAUCUUGUCGAUACUCCAGAGACUUCAGAUUGUUCGAAGAGAGAAUGGUUUUCCUGCAGACGCCCACUGCCAGCUAAACAAACAAAGAAAGGGCUUCCCUGGUGGCUCAGUGAUAAAGAAUCCACCUGGCAAUGCAGGAGACACGGGUUCGAUCCCUGGUCUGGGAAUAUCCCACAUGCUGCGGAGCAACUAAGCCCUUUGCCACAACAACCAAGCCUGUGCUCUGGAGCCCGGGAGCUGCGACUCCUGAGCCCACGAGCCCCAGCUAAUGGAGCCUGAGUUCUGUAGGCCUGUGCUCCUCCACGAGAGGCCCCAUCCCAGUGAGAAGCCCGCACACCGCAAGGCGAGAGGAGCCCCUGCUCACAACUAGAGAAGACCCCAAGCAGCAAGGAAG